rnacentral:rRNA from 1 species
AACGAACGCUGGCGGCAGGCUUAACACAUGCAAGUCGAGCGCCCCGCAAGGGGAGCGGCAGACGGGUGAGUAACACGUGGGAAUCUACCCAUCUCUACGGAAUAACGCAUGGAAACGUGUGCUAAUACCGUAUACGUCCUUCGGGAGAAAGAUUUAUCGGAGAUGGAUGAGCCCGCGUUGGAUUAGCUAGUUGGUGGGGUAAAGGCCUACCAAGGCGACGAUCCAUAGCUGGUCUGAGAGGAUGAUCAGCCACACUGGGACUGAGACACGGCCCAGACUCCUACGGGAGGCAGCAGUGGGGAAUAUUGGACAAUGGGCGCAAGCCUGAUCCAGCCAUGCCGCGUGAGUGAUGAAGGCCCUAGGGUUGUAAAGCUCUUUCACCGGUGAAGAUAAUGACGGUAACCGGAGAAGAAGCCCCGGCUAACUACGUGCCAGCCGCCGCAGUAAAAC